rnacentral:misc_RNA from 1 species
AACAUCAAAAAUCAUGUCCAAAAUUUUCAUCAAGUUGAACAUUAGAGAUUAUCAAGUUGAUCUUCUUCUAAAGAUGUAUGAAAUAAACAAGUCUUUGAAUUCGACUGCCGACCACCAAUUAUGAAUUUCAUCAGCUUCACGGCAAGAAUCAAUAGUUAACUCAUUAAUCUCUAGUAAUCUCGAGGUCAUGAGAUCUCAAGUUUAAAUCUCAAUCAGAGGUCAUUUUAUCAAAAAGAAAAUACAAGCAGGCAUACGCACAGGCAGAGAAAGGAAAGGAGUGGCCAUAAAGUUCAGGCGCAUAAAAUCAAGAAAAUAGUUGCAAAUUCAUACAAGCAGCAAAUAGUUUAUGUAUAUAUGUAUAUUGAGAAAAAGAAAAGAUAAACAUUACUCAAACUUGUAGUGCUUGUCUACACCUACAGAAACAUCCCAAGUGCAGCUCAUUCCUUUGGGAAACUCAACCAAAUCACCAGCACCAAUUUCAACAGCCUCAGUUGAUCCAUCAGGAUAAACUUUCACUUUUCCCUCCAGAAGAUAGCAUAUUUCCUUGGCAGAAUAUGUCCAUGGGAAUUUGCUUGCAGGGCAACCCCACUUGGGCCAUGAGCGGACUCCGAGCUCGGUGAGUUUGGACUCGGGAGGAUUCCUCACGAUCUUGACACCAGAUUUCUCUAUAGUAAUGGCCUCUGCUUUUACAGUUGUUGCAGCCAUUAGCCCCAACCUUGUUGUUCUUGAUAUGGGUCUUGACAAGGGAAAACACACAAAGCUGCUACUGCUGCUCACACAUGCCAUUGUUUUUAUUUAUAUAGGAGCAGUCUGUAGGGAAAGGCGAGGUUUGGCUUCUAUUUUCUUCUUUACUUCCUUUAUUUUAUAU